rnacentral:rRNA from 1 species
GAUGAACGCUGGCGGCGUGCUUAACACAUGCAAGUCGAGCGGAAAGACCCGGCGUUUGUUCGUUGCUCGUGAGGGGAGGACGUGUGUGAAACGUGUGGAACCCCUCCUUAACAGACUGGGAAAAUUUGGAGACACGGGCGCAAAUACGGUAGGAUCUAUUGCACCACGUGGUUCAAUGGUAAGUGUCGGUGUUAGGGGAUGUACUGGCGGGUUAUCGGCUUGUUGGUGGAGUAGUGGCUUACCAAGGAUACGAGGGGUAGCAGGCCUAAGAGGGUGACCGGCCACAUUGGGCCUGAGGGACGGCCCAGACUGGUACGGGAGGCAGAAGUGGGGAAGAUUGCACGAUGGGCGGAAGCCUGAUGCAGCAGCGCCGCGUGCGGGAAAACGGCCUUCGGGGUGUAAACCGAUUUCGCCUGUAACGAAGCGUGAGUGACGGUAAUGGAUAAAGAAGCACCGGCUAACUACGUG